CUGUGGAUUCUCCUCUGUGAACAUCUACUUUUGGGAAAAGCCUUGCCACACCUGGCAAUGUGCUUCUUGUCCAGCCUUCAGACAUCUUCAGUUCCAAGCUAAACAAUGAACAAAAAAGAAAUGCCACGGAUAUGGUCCUUUCUGCAGAACUCUGUGGAAACAGGAUUGGAUCCUAAAGAUGAGUGGCAAGGGACAACACAGAAGGGGUCUUUCGGUUUCUUGCUCUGACCACCAUGCCUGCUGCUUGCCUUCCACCAAGUUGGCCUCCAGGAACUUCAUGUCCAGCUUCUCUGAGCAUGAGACCCUCAGGAGUUCCUGAUGGUAUGGGAGUGUUUUCGGAUGACUUGCAGCUGCAGGAUCCCGAGAACUAGGGAGCGGCCAUUGGUCAGGGAAGGUACUAUAUAAGCUGCUCUGGAACACAAUAAAGGGGCAUGUUUUUUCAAGGA